rnacentral:rRNA from 1 species
AUUGAACGCUGGCGGCAGGCCUAACACAUGCAAGUCGAGCGGAGCGGCGGACGGGUGAGUAAUGCCUAGGAAUCUGCCUGGUAGUGGGGGAUAACGUCCGGAAACGGGCGCUAAUACCGCAUACUAUCAGAUGAGCCUAGGUCGGAUUAGCUAGUUGGGGGGGUAAAGGCCUACCAAGGCGACGAUCCGUAACUGGUGUGAGAGGAUGAUCAGUCAGACUGGAACUGGGAGAGGGUCCAGAAGCCGACGGGGGGCCGGAGUGGGGAAGAUUGGACAAUGGGGGAAAGCCUGGGGCAGGCAUGCCGCGGGGGGGACGAGGGCCUUCGGAUUGUAAAGCACUUUAAGUGGGGAGGCGUUACCAACACAGGAAGCGCCGACUAACGACGUGCCAGCAGCCGCGGUAAUAC